GAUUUUUGGUGUGUGAUAUGGUUGUUAAAGUCCCACAUCGACCAACCAAAACCUUGCGAUUCCGUGGGUCGGCCAUAAACAGUUCAACUCGUCAAUCAUUUGGUUCCUCGCCGUUGUAGAUGACUGCUCGGCCUCAAAUUAGCGACCAGGCAGUGAGCCCCUUAGAUCUUAUGGAGUCUAACCCAGAUCUAACAAGGAAGAUUAAUUGGUGGCUUAGAGGGAACACCUGAGGAGUCACCAGCAUGACCAGAUUUAACCACAUCAGAUGGUCCCCAGUUGAUUCAGUGAUCUAGUGCAGAUCUAAUACAUCAAAUUUAAUACUGAAGCUGCUUGGACAUGACUACGUCGGAGAUGGAGAUGAAACAAGUUGCAGUUGCAGUUGCAGUUGGCACUGGCAAUGUAAUUCCAGUAAGAAGAGGGGUUUAGGAACUCAUGAAUGCAUGCUCCAAAGUGCAAAUUUUAGAUCAAAGGUUCAACCACACUGGGAAGUAUUUGGAUUCAGGUGCCUUGAAGAUAUCUAAGAAUUCAUCACUGGCUGAAGGAAUCCAUGACAGUGAAACAGUUCAAGAAAGUUUUUGCUUGAACUGCAGAAAUUGCAUUCUGUAGUGUGCAAGACAAGUGCUCCUCUCUAAGACUGAAAGCUUCUUGCAUCGGCAAGUCAUUUGUGUAAAAGAUCAUCAAGUACUACUCAUCCAGAUUCUCUUGAAUAAAAUUCUAGUAAUAUUAGUGUCUGAAGCUGAACAACAAACUCCUUGUAAGCUUAUCACAAACUGGAUUAAGAAAUUGAGAAUUAGAUACUGAUGCAUGCCAAG